rnacentral:rRNA from 1 species
UACGGAAGGCAGCAAGUGGGGAAUAUUGCACAAUGGGCGCAAGCCUGAUGCAGCCAUGCCGCGUGUAUGAAGAAGGCCUUCGGGUUGUAAAGUACUUUCAGUCGUGAGGAAGGUGUUAAGGUUAAUAACCUUAGCAAUUGACGUUAGCGACAGAAGAAGCACCGGCUAACUCCGUGCCAGCAGCCGCGGUAAUACGGAGGGUGCGAGCGUUAAUCGGAAUUACUGGGCUAAAGGGCACGCAGGCGGUUAAUUAAGUUGGAUGUGAAAUCCCCGGGCUUAACCUGGGAAUGGCAUUCAAGACUGGUUAGCUAGAGUCUUGUAGAGGGGGUAGAAUUCCAUGUGUAGCGGUGAAAUGCGUAGAGAUGUGGAGGAAUACCGGUGGCGAAGGCGGCCCCUGGGACAAAGGACUGACGCUCAUGUGCGAAAGCGUGGGGAGCAAACAGGGAUUAGAUACC